rnacentral:rRNA from 1 species
CACGCAGGCGGUUUGUUAAGCUAGAUGUGAAAGCCCCGGGCUCAACCUGGGAUGGUCAUUUAGAACUGGCAGACUAGAGUUUUGGAGAGGGGAGUGGAAUUCCAGGUGUAGCGGUGAAACGCGUAGAUAUCUGGAGGAACAUCAGUGGCGAAGGCGACUCUCUGGCCAAAGACUGACGCUCAUGUGCGAAAGUGUGGGUAGCGAACA